CCAUACUCAACAAGAACAUUGGACCUUGCAUCCAAUUCAAACACAACGAAAGAAAACUUGGGUCAAACAUGGAAAGAAAACUCACCCUCGGCGCCGGAAAAUCUCCCUUGGUGACCAGGCGAGCUAACGUGAAUCAACGAGAAAUUAAAUCUCAUUUAUGCAUUGCGCUUUUGUCUGCUUUUCAAUUCGUGUCGAUGUUGUUGUUUCAUUGUGAAGGAUGCGUCGAUGUCGUUGUGUGCUCGAUUCCGAAUCAUGGUCAAAAUGGUGGAUGACGAAGAGUGAAGGAUCGUUGUUGAUUGAGAUGAAGAUUGAAGAUGAUCUUCGAUUCGUGCCUUUGGCAAGAAUGUGAACAGGUUCCAACGGAAUUUUUCCUUUCUUGAUCCUUCCCCUUUCUUCUUUUUUAGUUUUGUGAUGUUCAUGUUCUUCUCUGAGCAUUGUUGUUGAAGGAAUUUUUUAGGGAUGAUCAUAUUCUGUUAGAAAUUGGAGUGGAGUUCUUGGGUUGAAAAAGUUUGUUAUCCAUUGUUGAAGGGUGCAAAAGUUCUAUUAUGGAAGGUUCAAGAAGUGAUGUUGGAAAGGUCGUUAUGAGGGAGGUUCAGAAUUUCUGUUAGAAAUUAGGAUUGAGAAUUUUUUUAGGGAAGUUGAAAUUUGGUUCCAAUUUUGUUAUGGAGUUCGUUGAAGGGGUUGAAAUUUGUUAUCCGUUAGAAGAUUGAGGAAGUGAAGUUGAGGGAGUUGAAAUUCGGUUAGAGUUUUUUUGAGAAGUUCGUUGCAGAAGUUCUGUUAAGGAGUUUUUGAAGUCAGUUUGCAGGUUUUUAAUGAAGGUUUUUGAGGGAGUUCUUGAUGUGUUUUGGAGGCUACAACUUGAAGUUUUUAUUGAGGUUCAAAUGGAGGGGGUGGCGGUUCUGGAAGUUGGUUAGGGGGAGGGAAAUUUCAGUUUGCAUUGAAGAGGUUAUAGGGAGUUAGAGGAGGUGGUUGUAAUUCGGUUAUGGAGUUGUGUGGGGGAACUUUUUGAAGUCAGUUUGUCGGGUUGUUGUGAGGGAUGUUCAUUCUGUUAUGAGGAUUGGUUCAAGAGGUUGUGAAGUUUCUGUUUUUUCAAGGUUCCGGUGAAUUCAGUUGGCUUUGUUAAGGUUGUUGAAAGACCUUUGAAGGAGUUCUCUUCUUCUCAAAAUUUUGUUAUGUCAGUUGGAUGGUUUUUCAAGAGGGUCAUUGAAGCUUGAACAUGGUUUGGAUUCAAGCUUGGAAUUUUCCAUGAAGCUACUUAGAGAUUGUCUUAUGGUCAAGUGGGAUCGGGUUUUAGAUUUGGCUUGGAAUUGUAGUUUGUAGGUUUAAAAAUAUGAAAAUGAAUCAAGAUUAAAAAUGGACUUUCUAAUGAACAUGGUUUGGAAUGGACAUGUAUUGUAUUGAAAAGGAAAAUGGUUGGAAAAGAUGGUUGACUUUGGUCAAUUGGCUGACCGAAAAGUCAACAGUUGACCAACAUUCAACUUAGGUAUAAAUGUGUAUUUCCUUAUGGACAAUUGAAUGUGGACCACAAUACUUCUUAACCAAAUGACUUAUGCCAUGCUAUGAAUCAAAUCAGAUGAACAUCAAUCAAACAAAAAUUCAUGAA